UACAGGGGGGGGCAAGCGUUGUUCGGAAUUACUGGGCGUAAAGGGCUCGUAGGCGGCCAACUAAGUCGGACGUGAAAUCCCCAGGCUCAACCUGGGAACUGCGUCCGAUACUGGAUGGCUUGAAUCCGGGAGAGGGAUGUGGAAUUCCAGGUGUAGCGGUGAAAUUCGUAGAUAUUAGGAAGAACACCAGUGGCGAAGGCGGCCCCCUGGGCCGAACCUGACGCUGAGGCGCGAAGGCUAGGGGAGCGAACGGG
rnacentral:rRNA from 1 species